rnacentral:misc_RNA from 1 species
GCCUCUUUCGUUGCGCUUCUCUCCGCCCUCCGAUGGUUCAUCGUCUUCUUUUCCACUUUCUCCCCUUCUUUCUUCUCAUUCUCCUAUCAACUGCCGCCGCUGAUGACGGUGCCGUCAUGCUUAAACUCGCCAGCUCCCUUGCCCCGUUGCCCUCUGGUUGGUCCACCAAGUCCUCCUCUGACUUCUGCAGCUGGAAGGGUGUAGGAUGUGAUUCCUCUGGCAGGGUUACCUCCAUUUCCCUUCCUAACGAAGAUCUCACCGGCAACCUCCCGUCGGAGCUCGGUUUACUCAAUGAGCUCCAGGAGAUCUCCCUCCAAAAUAAUAAGCUUUCUGGGGAUCUCCCAUCUCUCGCUAAUCUCUCACGUUUGCAGAGUUUAUACCUGGAUUCCAAUAAUUUCACUUCAUUCCCUUCCGGGUUCUUCAAAGGGCUCACUAGUUUGCAAACCUUGAGCAUUGGAGGCAACAUUAAUCUCUCUCCCUGGGAGCUUCCUACAGAUCUUGCUGAUUCCUCUGCUCUCAAGACUUUAGAUGCUAGGCAAUCCAACAUUUUUGGCUCAAUUCCUGACAUUUUUGCAUCUUUUCCCGGUAUUCAGAGUUUGAGGCUCAGCUAUAAUAAUCUGACAGGUUCUUUGCCAUGGUCUUUCGCAAAUUCUUCGAUCCAGAACUUGUGGCUAAAUAAUCAGCAAAUGGGUUUAACGGGCACUAUUGAUGUGCUCCCAUCGAUGACCCAGUUGUACCAGGUGUGGCUCCAGAAGAAUCAGUUUACUGGUCCAAUUCCAGAUUUGUCCAAAUGUACUAGCCUUUUCGACUUGCAGCUGCGAGACAAUCAGUUUACUGGGGAGGUGCCGGCUUCCUUAGUUACGCUUCCAAAUCUGGUUAACAUCUCUUUGUCAAAUAACAAAUUGCAGGGUCCUUCUCCAGUGUUCAAAUCAUCUGUUAAGGUCACUAAUGAUGGGAAAAACAAUUACUGUACUGUUUCUGGGAAGGCCUGUGAUGUGGAGGUGACCGCUUUGCUUGAGAUUGCUGCAACUCUUGGGUAUCCAUCGAAACUCUCUGAUGAUUGGACAGGAAAUGAUGCCUGUUCUGGUUGGAACUUUGUUUCCUGCGAUCCGAAUAAAAAAGUAACCACUGUUAAUUUGGGAAAGCAGGGCUUCUCAGGGAUUAUUUCUCCUGCAUUUGCCAAUCUCACUAAUUUGAAGAAUUUGUAUCUCAAUAACAAUAACUUGACAGGUUCUAUUCCUGAUAGCUUGACGACACUCGCACUUCAGACACUUGACGUUUCCAAUAAUAAUCUCUCUGGUAAAGUUCCGGCAUUUUCUAGCUCGGUGAAGUUGAUCACUAAGCCUGGAAACCUUCUGCUGGGUACGGAUAUAAGCACUGGCGGAGGCACUCCAGAAUCAUCUGCCACAAAUGGUGGCUCACCCAGUGCGAGCACAUCUCCAUCAGGUGCAGGAAAACGUAGUGGAAUAGCGGGAGGUAUAAUUGCUGGCAUUAUUAUAGCUGUUGUUAUUUUUAUUGCUGUUUUAUCAUUCGUGUUGUAUAAACAUAAUAAAAGGCGUCCAAGUUAUGGGGAUAUGGAGAAAGAUGACAGUGUGCAGGUACUGGGUAAGAAUGGAGGGCCAAGUGGGACUAAUGGGUACAAUGGGCUGCCUACUGAACUGCAUAGCCAGAGUAGCGGUGGGGAUAGCGACCGUAAGAUGUUUGAGGGUGGAAAUGUUGCAGUGUCAAUUGAAGUUCUUAGACAAGUUACAAAUAAUUUUAGCGAAGAAAAUAUUAUAGGAAGAGGCGGUUUCGGUGUAGUGUAUCGGGGGGAGUUGCAUGAUGGGACUAAGAUUGCUGUGAAGAGGAUGGAAUCCACGGUGAUGGGCACCAAAGGUAUGAAUGAGUUUCAGGCAGAGAUUGCAGUGCUUUCAAAGGUUAGACAUAGGCAUCUUGUUGCUCUGUUAGGUUACUGUGUGAAUGGCAAUGAGAGACUGUUGGUCUAUGAGUAUAUGCCUCGUGGAACACUAGGGGAUCAUUUGUUUGAUUGGCAAGUUCAUAGCUACAGUCCACUUACGUGGAAGCAAAGAGUUACUAUUGCACUAGAUGUGGCAAGAGGAAUCGAGUACCUGCACAGUUUAGCCCAGCAGAGUUUCAUUCAUAGAGAUUUGAAACCAACUAAUAUUCUUCUUGGUGAUGACAUGAGAGCCAAAGUGGCAGAUUUUGGUUUGGUUAGAAAUGCACCCGAUGGGAAGUAUUCUGUGGAAACUCGAUUGGCAGGCACCUUUGGCUAUCUUGCACCUGAGUAUGCUGCUACUGGAAGGGUGACAACAAAGGUGGAUGUUUAUGCCUUUGGAGUU